AGGGCACCACCAGGAGUGGAGCCUGCGGCUUAAUUUGACUCAACACGGGAAAACUCACCCGGCCCGGACACUGGAAGGAUUGACAGAUUGAGAGCUCUUUCUUGAUUCAGUGGGUGGUGGUGCAUGGCCGUUCUUAGUUGGUGGAGCGAUUUGUCUGGUUAAUUCCGAUAACGAACGAGACUCUAGCCUACUAAAUAGAUCGUCGGCUUACAAACGCCGAUGAGACUUCUUAGAGGGACAGGCGGCGAUUCAGCCGCACGAAACAGAGCAAUAACAGGUCUGUGAUGCCCUUAGAUGUCCGGGGCCGCACGCGCGCUACACUGAAGUGAUCAGCGUGCAUUUUCAGCCUACUCUGCCAAGAGUGGGAAACCCAAUGAACCUUCUUCGUGAUUGGGAUAGGGGAUUGUAAUUAUUCCCCUUGAACGAGGAAUUCCCAGUAAGCGCGAGUCAUAAGCUCGCGUUGAUUACGUCCCUGCCCCUUUGUACACACCGCCCGUCGCUACUACCGAUUGAAUGUUU
rnacentral:rRNA from 1 species